rnacentral:rRNA from 2 species
UAGAGUUUGAUCCUGGCUCAGGACGAACGCUGGCGGCGUGCUUAACACAUGCAAGUCGAACGGAAAGGCCCUUCGGGGUACUCGAGUGGCGAACGGGUGAGUAACACGUGGGUGAUCUGCCCUGCACUUUGGGAUAAGCCUGGGAAACUGGGUCUAAUACCGGAUAGGACCACGCGCUUCAUGGUGUGUGGUGGAAAGCUUUUGCGGUGUGGGAUGGGCCCGCGGCCUAUCAGCUUGUUGGUGGGGUAAUGGCCUACCAAGGCGACGACGGGUAGCCGGCCUGAGAGGGUGACCGGCCACACUGGGACUGAGAUACGGCCCAGACUCCUACGGGAGGCAGCAGUGGGGAAUAUUGCACAAUGGGCGCAAGCCUGAUGCAGCGACGCCGCGUGAGGGAUGACGGCCUUCGGGUUGUAAACCUCUUUCAAUAGGGACGAAGCGCAAGUGACGGUACCUAUAGAAGAAGGACCGGCCAACUACGUGCCAGCAGCCGCGGUAAUACGUAGGGUCCGAGCGUUGUCCGGAAUUACUGGGCGUAAAGAGCUCGUAGGUGGUUUGUCGCGUUGUUCGUGAAAACUCACAGCUUAACUGUGGGCGUGCGGGCGAUACGGGCAGACUAGAGUACUGCAGGGGAGACUGGAAUUCCUGGUGUAGCGGUGGAAUGCGCAGAUAUCAGGAGGAACACCGGUGGCGAAGGCGGGUCUCUGGGCAGUAACUGACGCUGAGGAGCGAAAGCGUGGGGAGCGAACAGGAUUAGAUACCCUGGUAGUCCACGCCGUAAACGGUGGGUACUAGGUGUGGGUUUCCUUCCUUGGGAUCCGUGCCGUAGCUAACGCAUUAAGUACCCCGCCUGGGGAGUACGGCCGCAAGGCUAAAACUCAAAGGAAUUGACGGGGGCCCGCACAAGCGGCGGAGCAUGUGGAUUAAUUCGAUGCAACGCGAAGAACCUUACCUGGGUUUGACAUGCACAGGACGCCAGUAGAGAUAUUGGUUCCCUUGUGGCCUGUGUGCAGGUGGUGCAUGGCUGUCGUCAGCUCGUGUCGUGAGAUGUUGGGUUAAGUCCCGCAACGAGCGCAACCCUUGUCUCAUGUUGCCAGCACGUUAUGGUGGGGACUCGUGAGAGACUGCCGGGGUCAACUCGGAGGAAGGUGGGGAUGACGUCAAGUCAUCAUGCCCCUUAUGUCCAGGGCUUCACACAUGCUACAAUGGCCGGUACAAAGGGCUGCGAUGCCGUGAGGUGGAGCGAAUCCUUUCAAAGCCGGUCUCAGUUCGGAUCGGGGUCUGCAACUCGACCCCGUGAAGUCGGAGUCGCUAGUAAUCGCAGAUCAGCAACGCUGCGGUGAAUACGUUCCCGGGCCUUGUACACACCGCCCGUCACGUCAUGAAAGUCGGUAACACCCGAAGCCGGUGGCCUAACCCUUGUGGAGGGAGCCGUCGAAGGUGGGAUCGGCGAUUGGGACGAAGUCGUAACAAGGUAGCCGUA